UGCCGUGACUUUCUAUUCUAAACGCGACAACUAUUUUGCGGAAAUCAUCGUUAGGAUGCCAUCUCUCAAAUUUUCAGUCGUGCUUAUGUUCGCACUCACAGCCACGGGGUAUAACACAGCGGAGGCGACCACACAGACGGCGCUAUCACCACAGUGCAAAGCGUUGUACGAGAAGACGUUCGGAAGGUAAGCA
rnacentral:lncRNA from 1 species